CCUACGGGCGGCAGCAGUAGGGAAUAUUGCUCAAUGGGGGAAACCCUGAAGCAGCAAAGCCGCGUGGAGGAUGAAGGUUUUAGGAUUGUAAACUCCUUUUGUGAGAGAAGAUAAUGACGGUAUCCCACGAAUAAGCACCGGCUAACCCCGUGUAAGCAGCCGCGGUAAUACGGGGGGUGCACGCGUUACUCGGAAUCACUGGGCGUAAAGAGUGCGCAGGCGGGCUUGUAAGUCAGAUGUGAAAACCUGUAGGUUAACUACAGAACUGCAUUUGAAACUAUGAGUCUAGAGUGUGGGAGAGGUAGGUGGAAUGCGUGGUGUAGGGGUAAAAGCCGUAGAUAGCAAGAGGAAUACUCAUUGCGAAGGCGACCUACUGGAACAUUACUGACGCUCAUGCACGAAAGCGUGGGGAGCAAACAGGAUUAGAUACCCGAGUAGUC
rnacentral:rRNA from 1 species